UUGCUUCAGUAGCACACAUACUAAAAUUGGAGCGAUACAGAGAAGAUUAACGUAGCCUCUGUGCAAAGAUGACAUGCAAAUUUGUGAACCGUUCCAUAUUUAA